UUUAAUGAGAGUUUGAUCCUGGCUCAGGACGAACGCUGGCGGCGUGCCUAAUACAUGCAAGUCGAACGCAAUUUUUCACACCGAGUGCUUGCACUCACCGUGAUAAUUGAGUGGCGGACGGGUGAGUAACACGUGGGUAACCUGCCCUUCAGUGGGGGAUAACACUUGGAAACAGGUGCUAAUACCGCAUAAUUGUUUGAGCCGCCUGGCUCGAAUAUGAAAGACGCUUUCGGGUGUCGCUAAAGGAUGGACCCGCGCUGCAUUAGUUAGUUGGUGAGGUAAUGGCUCACCAAGACCGUGAUGCAUAGCCGACCUGAGAGGGUGAUCGGCCACACUGGGACUGAGACACGGCCCAGACUCCUACGGGAGGCAGCAGUAGGGAAUCUUCGGCAAUGGACGAAAGUCUGACCGAGCAACGCCGCGUGAGUGAAGAAGGUUUUCGGAUCGUAAAACUCUGUUGUUAGAGAAGAACAAGUGGGAGAGUAACUGUUCCCGCCUUGACGGUAUCUAACCAGAAAGCCACGGCUAACUACGUGCCAGCAGCCGCGGUAAUACGUAGGUGGCAAGCGUUGUCCGGAUUUAUUGGGCGUAAAGCGAGCGCAGGUGGUUCUUUAAGUC
rnacentral:rRNA from 1 species